GAUGAACGCUGGCGGCGUGCCUAAUACAUACAAGUCGAGCGAAUGGAUUAAGAGCUUGCUCUUAUGAAGUUAGCGGCGGACGGGUGAGUAACACGUGGGUAACCUGCCCAUAAGACUGGGAUAACUCCGGGAAACCGGGGCUAAUACCGGAUAACAUUUUGAACCGCAUGGUUCGAAAUUGAAAGGCGGCUUCGGCUGUCACUUUUGGAUGGACCCGUGUCGCAUUAGCUAGUUGGUGAGGUAACGGCUCACCAAGGCAACGAUGCGUAGCCGACCUGAGAGGGUGAUCGGCCACACUGGGACUGAGACACGGGCCAGACUCCUACGGGAGGCAGCAGUAGGGAAUCUUCCGCAAUGGAAGAAGGUCUGACGGAGCAACGCCGCGUGAGUGAUGAAGGCUUUCGGGUCGUAAAACUCUGUUGUUAGGGAAGAACAAGUGCUAGUUGAAUAAGCUGGCACCUUGACGGUACCUAACCAGAAAGCCACGGCUAACUACGUGCCAGCCGCCGCAGUAA
rnacentral:rRNA from 1 species